AGGCAGCCAGGACACAGAGGGGCAGAGCAAGUCAGCAUUGGCGCCCCUUCCUCAGAUCCCUAUCAUCUUGGGAAACAGUAGCCCAGAGGUUCAGGAAGAUGUUAACUUAAAUGUUCAGGGUGCCCCAGUCUGUUCAGCAUGGCUGAAAUCCACACUCCGUAUUCUUCCUUGAAGAAACUGUUAUCUUUACUCAAUGGCUUCGUGGCUGUGUCUGGCAUCAUCCUAGUUGGCCUGGGCAUUGGUGGUAAAUGUGGAGGGGCCUCUCUGACGAAUGUCCUCGGGCUGUCCUCCGCAUACCUCCUUCACGUUGGCAACCUGUGCCUGGUGAUGGGAUGCAUCACGGUACUGCUUGGCUGUGCCGGGUGGUAUGGAGCGACUAAAGAGAGCAGAGGCACGCUCUUGUUUUGCAUCCUGUCAAUGGUUAUUGUCCUCAUCAUGGAAGUUACAGCUGCCACAGUGGUCCUUCUUUUCUUUCCAAUUGUUGGAGAUGUGGCCUUGGAACACACCUUCGUGACCCUGAGGAAGAAUUACAGAGGUUACAACGAGCCAGACGACUAUUCUACACAGUGGAACUUGGUCAUGGAGAAGGGACUCUCCAAGUAUUUCUUCUCCUCUCUAUAGCUAAAGUGCUGUGGGGUGAAUAACUACACAGAUUUUUCUGGCUCUUCCUUCGAAAUGACAACGGGCCACACCUACCCCAGGAGUUGCUGUAAAUCCAUCGGAAGUGUGUCCUGUGACGGACGCGAUGUGUCUCCAAACGUCAUCCACCAGAAGGGCUGUUUCCAUAAACUCCUAAAAAUCACCAAGACUCAGAGCUUCACCCUGAGUGGGAGCUCUCUGGGAGCUGCAGUGAUACAGUUGCCAGGAAUUCUUGCCACUUUGCUGCUGUUUAUCAAGCUGGGCUGACACCCAGGCCUGGAGAAGAUGAGACACCUGGGCCCAUCUGGCUGCUGGAGAUUCAGUCUCAGUUUUAUUUCUCUGUGGCACUCACUGCUUCUGGAGGGGAGACUGUUAAUAAAAGAUUUGGGAACCCCC